AUACGUAGGUGACAAGCGUUAUCCGGCUUUACUGGGCGUAAAGGGCGUGUAGGCGGUCUUGCAAGUCAGAAGUGAAAUUCCUGAGCUCAACUCGGGCGCUGCUUCUGAAACUGCAGGACUUGAGUGCUGGAGGGGAUCGCGGAAUUCCUAGUGGAACGGUAAAAUGCGCAGAUAUUAGGAAGAACACCGGUGGCGAAGGCGGCUAUCUGGACAGUAACUGACGCUGAGGCGCGAAAGCGUGGGGAGCAAACAGGAUUAGAUACCCUAGUAGUCCACGCCGUAAACGAUGAAUACUAGGUGUAGGGGGUAUCGACUCCCUCUGUGCCGCAGUUAACACAAUAAGUAUUCCGCCUGGGGAGUACGGCCGCAAGGUUGAAACUCAAAUGAAUUGACGGGG
rnacentral:rRNA from 1 species